CUGGCUGUUGAGGCAUUUUGCACUUCCAGAUAUCUAUGUGCACUUUUGUUCCUUUGCAUAUGAAUUUAAGAAAUUAUCUUUAAUUUAUUAGUGUUUAUAACAUUCGUUUUAACCAAAAAUAUGCUGUGCAUGAUUUGUUUAUAUUAUUGGGGCUUUGUGCUGCGCCCUCUUGUGGGCUUUUAGGAGUAUUUUCUCCAAGAUAAAGUAGGUCUUUAUAAUUCGAAUAUAAUUCGAAUUUUAUUAUUUUUCAAGGACGAAUUUCGAAUGUACUUAUUCAGCCAUUUUGACAGCCCUACUUACCAAUAAAGAACCUAUUGUUAAUGAAAUAAUUAAUGACCAAAACUUAGAUGCACUCUGUUUAACAGAAACCUGGCUUAAAGCAGAUGACUACACUAGUUUAAACGAAUCCACCCCACAAGACUAUUAUUAUAAACACGAACCUCGAUUAAAGGGGAGAGGGGGUGGUGUAGCUACAAUAUACAACAACAUUUUUAACGUUAACCAGAAAUCUGAACUAAAAUUUAACUUAUUUGAACUAAUGUUAUUAACCCUUUAUGGGGCAAGUAACCAUAUUUAGUCACUUCCGCACACAUUCAAAGUGCCCUCCCCCUGCCUUCAUUUGGAAUAGUAGAGUCAUGUAGUUUUCUCUUAGCCGAUCAGGGGAGAUCAAGCUAUCUCACGGAUAUUAACAUCAAGGCAUCUGACCAAUCAGUAGUGGCCUGGAGCACCUCAAACACAGCCAUCUUCCAGAAAUCAAAAAUAUUACUUUUUUGAACCUGGCUUCUCCCACAGCAAUAGUUAUAACAUCAUAACUAAACAUGCUGUCUGCUCGGCAGCUGAGAAGAGGGGUACCAUUGUUGUUCCUGUAAACCCAGUCAAGCCAGUAUCAGUACCGCAAGACCAUGUCUCUAAAUAAAUGUUCCUUGCAGCUUGUGCCUAUAAUAAAUAAA